UACGGAGGGGGCGAGCGUUGUCCGGAGUUACUGGGCGUAAAGCGCGCGUAGGCGGGUUGGUAAGUCCGCUGUGAAAGCCCGGAGCUUAACUCCGGAGGGUCGGUGGAUACUGCCAGUCUUGAAGGUGCUAGGGGGAGAUGGAAUUACCGGUGUAGCGGUGAAAUGCGUAGAGAUCGGUAGGAACACCAGUGGCGAAGGCGGUCUCCUGGGGCAUUCUUGACGCUGAGGCGCGAAGGCUGGGGGAGCGAACGGG
rnacentral:rRNA from 1 species